rnacentral:lncRNA from 1 species
CGGUAGACUAAACAUCCACUCCAGGCCCCUGCUAACCCCGAGGAAGAAGCCUGGAGGUAGAGGGAGGAGAAAUGAGAACAACUCAGGCCGGUGGCCAAGGUGAGGCCUGCGGGUAGGGGGCGCAGUGCCUGGCACACGAAUGGCACUUAAUUUUCUGAAUAAAUAACUGAUUACUUGGUUCAUCUCUGGGAACAUUGAGUUUGCUAUUGAGUUGCCCCAUCAAACUCUUGGUCCACAGGUCAAUCCCCAGCUUCAAUAUCUCACCCCACGAUCGACCUCUUUCGCUGAAGUCAGGAGUGACAGCAAUUAACUCCUCCGCUGCACCGUCCCCAGGGCCAGAUGCCACGUGAGAGACCCCAGGCUGGAGCGAGAACCUACUUUGGGAGGAUUGAAAGCUACAAAGGACGUUUGGGUGACCUCCCCACAACACAAGGUGGGGUGGGGGGUUUCAACCCACACUGCCCCAUCUUGAAUCGCCAUGGAUGACCAAGUAGUUGAAACACGACGGGGGACUUAGGUGCCAGUCCUUCUAGGCAGAAGGGCCCUCUUGGAAAAAAAUGGUCAUUUCUAGAGCUGUAUGGGACAGGGCUGUGUUCCUGAGGCCAUAGCCCCCAGAAGUCUUCUGAAAGUGAUGGUGGCAAUUCAGGUAGGUAGUCUGUCUUUAGCUGACAGUAUCAUUUGAAAUGUUUAAUAAAUUUGCAAUUGAUGACUAGCUAACGGGGUGAGAUAAGACCUGUAAAAGUACAGACCCUGAGAAUUGAAAGAAACCGUAAGCUGUGUAAACUGAAAUGAAAAGUGAUGUUUACCUAUUAUUCAUUAGUAUUCUUAUAGAGUGGCAAUAUCAUAACUUGGGAAGUUUACCUAAAGUGCAGUUAUUAUUACACUUGAUUUUAGCCAAAAGGCCG